GGGAGAACCGGCUCGUCCGGUGCCGAAGGAGCAACCGCCCCGGAAACUCUCAGGCCCCAGGACCUCGGC
rnacentral:ncRNA from 1 species